GGGCUGCAAGGAAAUCUGGCGCGGUUCAAUACCUCAUCUAGUCUGGGUUCCAGUAUCUAAUUUUUUUUUACUGACAAACUCAUUUCUCUACCGGGACAGGAUGCUGUGCUGGCUGGGAGUUCCAUUUCUACAGCAAGAAUCCUAUCUGGAAACAGAGAAGUUGUCCUCUAAGCCACAGCAGCUCGAACUUUUUUGAUUGUUGUUGCUGCUUUCUCCCAUCACCCCCACCCCCUUUUGACAAAGAUCCAACUGUAAAAAGUCUUACGUAACAGUUCAGGACUACUUCGGUUCUUUUACUGGUAUAUCAAGAGGCCUCAAGAGGACUAUGAAAACAUUUACAUCUCCAACUCAGAGCAAUGUGGGUUUCACAAUAUUUCGUAGUACCUCUGGAAAAGGAAAGAAAGGAGUACAGUGGGUCCUCCGUAUCCAAGAUGUGGAGGACCAACGAUACUGCACCAUUUUAUAUAAGGGACUUGAGCAUCCUCGGAUUCUGGUGUCCAAGGAGGAUCCUGGAAUCAAUUCCUGUGGAUACCGAGGGACGACUGUAAAUAGCUGAGGCAAAACAGUAGAGUAAAAAAGAAAUAAAUGG